UACGGGGGGAGCAAGCGUUGUUCGGAUUUACUGGGCGUAAAGGGCGCGUAGGCGGCCACCGCAAGUCGACUGUGAAAGCCCCCGGCUCAACUGGGGAGGGUCACGCGAUACUGCUCGACUCGAAGGCAGGAGAGGGAAGUGGAAUUCCCGGUGUAGUGGUGAAAUGCGUAGAUAUCGGGAGGAACACCAGUGGCGAAGGCGACUUCCUGGCCUGUUCUUGACGCUGAGGCGCGAAAGCUAGGGUAGCAAACGGG
rnacentral:rRNA from 1 species